UACAGAGGUCUCAAGCGUUGUUCGGAUUCAUUGGGCGUAAAGGGUGCGUAGGUGGCGGGGCAAGUCUGGUGUGAAAUCUCGGAGCUCAACUCCGAAACUGCACUGGAUACUGCCUUGCUCGAGUACUGGAGAGGAGAUUGGAAUUUACGGUGUAGCAGUGAAAUGCGUAGAUAUCGUAAGGAAGACCAGUGGCGAAGGCGAGUUUCUGGACGGUAACUGACGCUGAGGCACGAAGGCCAGGGGAGCAAACGGG
rnacentral:rRNA from 1 species